UACGGAGGGGGCUAGCGUUGUUCGGAAUUACUGGGCGUAAAGCGCACGUAGGCGGACUGGAAAGUCAGAGGUGAAAUCACAGGGCUCAACCUUGGAACUGCCUUAGAAACUCACGGUCUUGAGGUCGAGAGAGGUGAGUGGAAUUCCGAGUGUAGAGGUGAAAUUCGUAGAUAUUCGGAGGAACACCAGUGGCGAAGGCGGCUCACUGGCUCGAUACUGACGCUGAGGUGCGAAAGCGUGGGGAGCAAACAGG
rnacentral:rRNA from 1 species